rnacentral:rRNA from 1 species
GACACGGUCCAGACUCCUACGGGAGGCAGCAGUGAGGAAUAUUGGUCAAUGGGCGGAAGCCUGAACCAGCCAAGUAGCGUGCAGGAUGACGGCCCUACGGGUUGUAAACUGCUUUUAUGCGGGGAUAAAGUUGCCCACGUGUGGGUUUUUGCAGGUACCGCAUGAAUAAGGACCGGCUAAUUCCGUGCCAGCAGCCGCGGUAAUACGGAAGGUCCGGGCGUUAUCCGGAUUUAUUGGGUUUAAAGGGAGCGCAGGCCGCCGUGCAAGCGUGCCGUGAAAAGCAGCGGCCCAACCGCUGCCCUGCGGCGCGAACUGCGUGGCUUGAGUGCGCCGGAAGCGGGCGGAAUUCGUGGUGUAGCGGUGAAAUGCUUAGAUAUCACGAAGAACCCCGAUUGCGAAGGCAGCCCGCUGUGGCGCCACUGACGCUGAGGCUCGAAGGUGCGGGUAUCGAACAGGAUUAGAUACCCUGGUAGUCCGCACGGUAAACGAUGGAUACCCGCUGUCCGGCCCGUACGGUCUGGGCGGCCAAGCGAAAGCGUUAAGUAUCCCACCUGGGGAGUACGCCGGCAACGGUGAAACUCAAAGGAAUUGACGGGGGCCCGCACAAGCGGAGGAACAUGUGGUUUAAUUCGAUGAUACGCGAGGAACCUUACCCGGGCUUGAAUUGCAGGAGAAUGAUUCAGAGAUGAUGAAGUCCCUCGGGACUCCUGUGAAGGUGCUGCAUGGUUGUCGUCAGCUCGUGCCGUGAGGUGUCGGCUCAAGUGCCAUAACGAGCGCAACCCCUCUCCGCAGUUGCCAUCGGGUCAUGCCGGGCACUCUGCGGACACUGCCGCCGCAAGGUGCGAGGAAGGUGGGGAUGACGUCAAAUCAGCACGGCCCUUACGUCCGGGGCCACACACGUGUUACAAUGGCCGGUACAGAGGGCUGUCCGCAUGCAAGUGCGGGUGAAUCCCGAAAUCCGGUCCCAGUUCGGACUGGGGUCUGCAACCCGACCCCACGAAGCUGGAUUCGCUAGUAAUCGCGCAUCAGCCAUGGCGCGGUGAAUACGUUCCCGGGCCUUGUACACACCGCCCGUCAAGCCAUGAAAGCCGGGGGUGCCUGAAGUCCGUGACCGCGAGGGUCGGCCUAGGGCAAAACCGGUGAUUGGGGCUAAGUCGUAACAAGGUAGCCGUACCGGAAGGUGCGGCUG